GGGUACCGUUUCACAAAGCAGUCGUAAAUUUACACGCUCGUAGAUUUUACGCCAUAUUUGCGCAAUGUUUACGCCAUAGUCUAAGACUGUUUCACAAAGCUACACUAAAACUGGCGUAACCUCGGCCAACUUACACGCACGUAAAAAAUACGAUUGGAGCUCUUUCCCUUUGUGAGGUAGGAAAAUCCGCACUAGAGUUGUCUACCGUGGCAGGUGCUCUGAGCAGACGACGAAGCGCAUUAAAAUGGAUGAAAUUAGCGACAAGAAAUCGAGGAAGUGAAACUUUUCGGCCACAGAAGUAGAAAUUCUUACAGAAGAAGUUGGCAGCAAUUCAGAUGUGUUGUUUUCAUCUUUUUCUUCUUGCAUCACAAACAAUCGGAAGAAGAAGAUAUGGGAGGAUAUUCUGACAAAGAUCAACGCCAAUAACACGGAGGUAAGGACUGUGCCUCAGCUGAAAAAGAAAUGGCAGGACCUCAGGGCUGCAGCCAAGAAGAAGGAGGUGACAAGGAGGAAGGAGAGUGUGAGAACUGGUGGAGGUGGCCCUCCUACACAACUCACUACUGUUGAACAGAAGAUUGUGAGUUUGAUUCCUCCUUGCCAGAUUGAAGGAAUUGCUGGAGGAUUUGAUU